AAGCGGCAACAGCUCAAAUUUGAAAUCUUGGCCCUUGGGUCCGAGUUGUAAUUUGUAUAGGAUGCUUUUGGCGAGGUGCCUUCCGAGUUCCCUGGAACGGGACGCCAUAGAGGGUGAGAGCCCCGUCUGGUCGGACACCGAGCCUCUGUAAAGCUCCUUCGACGAGUCGAGUAGUUUGGGAAUGCUGCUCAAAAUGGGAGGUAUAUGUCUUCUAAAGCUAAAUAUUGGCCAGAGACCGAUAGCGCACAAGUAGAGUGAUCGAAAGAUGAAAAGCACUUUGAAAAGAGGGUUAAAAAGUACGUGAAAUUGUUGAAAGGGAAGCGCCUAUGACCAGACUUGGGCCCGGUGAAUCAUCCAGCGUUCUCGCUGGUGCACUUUGCCGGGCACAGGCCAGCAUCAGUUUGGCGCGGGGGAAAAAGGCUUUGGGAAUGUGGCUCCCUCGGGAGUGUUAUAGCCCAUUGUGUAAUACCCUGCGCCGGACUGAGGUACGCGCAUUGCAAGGAUGCUGGCGUAAUGGUCAUCAGC
rnacentral:rRNA from 1 species